rnacentral:rRNA from 1 species
UACGAAGGGGGCUAGCGUUGCUCGGAAUCACUGGGCGUAAAGGGUGCGUAGGCGGGUUUUUAAGUCAGGGGUGAAAUCCUGGAGCUCAACUCCAGAACUGCCUUUGAUACUGAAGAUCUUGAGUUCGGGAGAGGUGAGUGGAACUGCGAGUGUAGAGGUGAAAUUCGUAGAUAUCCGCAAGAACACCAGUGGCGAAGGCGGCUCACUGGCCCGAUACUGACGCUGAGGCACGAAAGCGUGGGGAGCAAACAGG